AGACGGAGGGGGCUAGCGUUGUUCGGAAUCACUGGGCGUAAAGCGCGCGUAGGCGGCCGCUCAAGUUGGGCGUGAAAGCCCGGGGCUCAACCCCGGAACUGCGCUUGAUACUUGCUGGCUCGAGACCGGGAGAGGGUGGCGGAAUUCCCAGUGUAGAGGUGAAAUUCGUAGAUAUUGGGAAGAACACCAGUGGCGAAGGCGGCCACCUGGACCGGUACUGACGCUGAGGCGCGAAAGCGUGGGGAGCAAACGGGAUUAGAAACCCCAGUAGUCC
rnacentral:rRNA from 1 species